UAAAAGUCACCAAAUUGACAUAUUUUUCGCACAUUUUUGUCGUUUAUUUGGCUGCAAAAAUUCGAAAUCGCAAUUACACGCUUUCACCUUACGUGCAUAAAAUGAUUCGCGUUUUAUUUUUAGCGAGGAAUGGAAAAAUCUGUUGAUGUGGAAUUUGAGGUUAUGUUUGUUCCUUGAGAACUGCGACAAUGAGUGAGCCCCCGAAACCAACACAGGACGAAAAAAAGAAAGUUGAUCCUGGAUGGAACGACCCUCCGAUGCUGAACUACUCUUCGGCUAAUCCGCCACCUAAAUCACGUAUAAUGAAUAAGAGGGUUGCUUUUCCGAUGAGUGGGGCGAGUAAUAGCCCCGCGAGUACGACUACGAACGCACCACCUCUGAGUAGCCUGCAAGGUCCUCCAAAAAGUUAAUUUUUAUUCGAUACAUAUGAAAUCUAUUUUAUUUAUUAAACUAAUAUAAAUCA